rnacentral:rRNA from 1 species
UACAUGUGGGGCAAGCGUUGUUCGGAAUUACUGGGCAUAAAGGGUGCGUAGGUGGUUUGUUAAGUCAGGGGUGAAAUCCCGCGGCCCAACCGUGGAACUGCCUUUGAUACUGGCGAACUUGAGUGCGUGAGGGGUAGGGGGAACGAGCAGUGUAGCGGUGAAAUGCGUAGAGAUCGGGCGGAACACCAGCGGCGAAGGCGGCAUCCUGGUCCGUGUACUGACGCUGAGGCGCGAGAGCGUGGGGAGCAAACUGG